GACGAACGCUGGCGGCGUGCUUAACACAUGCAAGUCGAACGGAAAGGCCCCUUUGGGGGUACUCGAGUGGCGAACGGGUGAGUAACACGUGAGUAACCUGCCCUUGACUUCGGGAUAACUUCAGGAAACUGGGGCUAAUACCGGAUAGGAAUCCUUGCUGCAUGGUGGGGGUUGGAAAGCUUCGGCGGUUUUGGAUGGACUCGCGGCUUAUCAGCUUGUUGGUGGGGUAGUGGCUUACCAAGGCUUUGACGGGUAGCCGGCCUGAGAGGGCGACCGGCCACAUUGGGACUGGGAUACGGCCCAGACUCCUACGGGAGGCAGCAGUGGGGAAUACUGCACAAUGGGCGGAAGCCUGAUGCAGCAACGCCGCGUGCGGGAUGACGGCCUUCGGGUUGUAAACCGCUUUCAGCAGGGGCGAAGCUUGUGGUGACGGUACCUGCAGAAGAAGCACCGGCUAACUACGUG
rnacentral:rRNA from 1 species